UACGAAGGGUGCAAGCGUUAAUCGGAAUUACUGGGCGUAAAGGGUGCGUAGGCGGUUGUUUAAGUCUGUCGUGAAAUCCCCGGGCUCAACCUGGGAAUGGCGAUGGAUACUGGCGAGCUAGAGUGUGUCAGAGGAUGGUGGAAUUCCCGGUGUAGCGGUGAAAUGCGUAGAGAUCGGGAGGAACAUCAGUGGCGAAGGCGGCCAUCUGGGACAACACUGACGCUGAAGCACGAAAGCGUGGGGAGCGAACAGG
rnacentral:rRNA from 1 species